rnacentral:rRNA from 1 species
AGUGAACGCUGGCGGUAGGCCUAACACAUGCAAGUCGAACGGCAGCACAGUAAGAGCUUGCUCUUACGGGUGGCGAGUGGCGGACGGGUGAGGAAUACAUCGGAAUCUACUUUUUCGUGGGGGAUAACGUAGGGAAACUUACGCUAAUACCGCAUACGACCUACGGGUGAAAGCAGGGGAUCUUCGGACCUUGCGCGAUUGAAUGAGCCGAUGUCGGAUUAGCUAGUUGGCGGGGUAAAGGCCCAACAAGGCGACGAUCCGUAGCUGGUCUGAGAGGAUGAUCAGCCACACUGGAACUGAGACACGGUCCAGACUCCUACGGGAGGCAGCAGUGGGGAAUAUUGGACAAUGGGCGAAAGCCUGAUCCAGCCAUACCGCGUGGGUGAAGAAGGCCUUCGGGUUGUAAAGCCCUUUUGUUGGGAAAGAAAAGCAGCAGGUUAAUACCCCGCUGUUCUGACGGUACCCAAAGAAUAAGCACCGGCUAACUUCGUG